rnacentral:lncRNA from 1 species
CGUUCUUAAUCUAUUGACACUGAUUUAAAUUUUCGGCUUUAGAUGCCUUUUAGGUUACCGUAUACCUCUAGAACACCUUUAGAGGUGUCUCGCGUCUAUGGGAUGUAGCUCGUCCGGUUUUAACUGUAGAUAUCUAAAUCCCUAUUAAUUAAAGCUUAAAGAGCUGGCUGUCACACUAUUCCAAGAAUUUUGAAAUAAAAUGAAUUGUCGAAUUUUUCUCGACCUUUAAAUGUGCGCAUCCGAAUCAUCCGUUUGGGUCCCUUUUGAAAGCUACAAGGCAAAGGGAAUAUGUUCGUAUGUCCUUAAGUUUGGACAAUAGCUAUUUUGACACAAAAACAACAAAAAUUUGUCUGCGAAUAUUUUAUUUCCAAAUAUUUUUUUCUCGAGAGAUUUAUCUUCGAUCUCUCCAUAUUUUUUUAUGCUUUUUCGAAAAUGUUCCGUAACUUUUCACUCAAAUUGAAUAUGGCAAAUCGCAGACACCUUUUUUUUGGCGCUUUGGGUCCGGAAACUGAGGGACAAAGUAAAUGAGCGAAAAACAAAAUUCGCUUUGACUUGUAGCUUUCAAAAGGUGACUCGGACGCUCACAUUUAGAGGUCGUAAAAAUUAUUUCAAAUUUUUGAUAUAGUUUGACAGCCAGCUCUAAGUUUUAAUUUGAUAUAGGGGUUUAGGUAUCUACAGUUUAAACUGGACGCGCUACAUCGCUUGGACGCGAGACACCUCUAAAGGUAUACGGUAACGUUAAGUUUUAGGUUUUUCAUCCAUUCUUGUCCCGUGACUGGUCAAAUAUGGCUGUGAUUUGAAACUUUUGCAGGACUCUUCGAUGGAACAAACCUGUACAAAAAUGGUAUACUUAGGAGGUCUGGUUUUCAAAAUAUGACGGUUAGAAACCUUCCUUAGCAACAAAUUCAUGACCAAUUGGUAGUUAAGGACCCUCCUUGACUUUUCUGGAAUUCAAACUGAGAAAUGUCUACGCCGAAAUCCAGUUGCCCUCGUUACAUUGAUGUUAAUUUCAUUGAUGAUUUUCAGGAGUCACAAGAAAGCUUUACGUCAAGUAACGUUCCAUCGGCACUUCCCUCUGUUUGCGUCCGCUAGUGAUGACGGGACGGUUAUUGUAUGUCAUGGAAGGAUCUUCAAUGACUUGAUGCAGAACCCACUGAUAGUUCCCGUCAAGGUCUUAAAAGGACACAAAGUGGUUGGAGAAUUGGGUGUACUGGAUUGUCAGUUUCAUCCAACCCAGCCCUGGAUCUUCACUGCAGGUGCAGAUCACCUGAUCAGACUGUACACGUGACACUGCUCUUUCUCUUCAUCUCAUCCUGACUACAGAGUGCCUCAGGUCAUCGCCAAACGAUGGAUCUUACGACAAUCGCUGUAAUCCUGCGGUCAUGAUCAUUGAACCGAUGUCAGCGAGAUGCAACUCUGGAGCUCUAACAUAGCAGCGUUUGAUUCUGGAGAACAAGUCACUGAGACUUUCCCGAGCCCGCGAUUUUCGUUGAAAGGGUUGCUAAGUGACAUGCUUCAUCCUGAUGGCGACAGAUUCACGUGAUAUCUUCGGAGUACUUGAUUGGACAAUAACAAUUUUACUGCUUGCGUGCUUUCACAAAGAUUUGCCGAGAACAACAGUUGUUCUUCCGAAUAUAUGGCAGACGAUGUAAAUAAAACACACCUCGCAUACUUUUGUAAUGAUUGUUCCCAUAAAUGGACUUUCAGAAAUGCAAGUGACUAUGUGAAUUGGUAAUGAUUUGAUAAAGUGAAAGUUGUCCUUUCUUUUCUUGUCUGUUUGAAAAAUGUGAAUAGUACUCCAAAAACCAUGGAGUGGUGAAUUUAUGAUGGUUCUGAUAACAUUAUUACUUACGUACUGCCUUGUACGCCAAUCGGUGUUCAGCGAUAAAGCUUCUCCACUCCUGCUAAUCAUGUGCCUUUCUCUCGAUGACUCCCCAGUUGCAAUAUUUAGGGUGUUCAGCUCGGUUUCGACUGUCCUCCUCGAAGUUCGUAACAUUAUUUAAGGCCUAAACUGUAGCGUAUUUGUUCCUCCGUUGUUUCACGCCGCAGUAAACUCCGACAACUUUGGCCGAAUACAAUUGCAGUAAACUGCGCGCGCACUGAUUGCCGUCGUUUGUGACACGCCGCCAAAACAACUGACAAAGGUCAUUUCAGUUCGUAGGCUCAACGCUUGAAGUGGCCCCCGUGGAAUUACACAAUCGCAUGCUCGUUUAGUGAUUCUCUGCUUAUUUUGGAAACAAGAAAAUCAAGGGCGCUUUCCAUUCGAUAAAAUUUCGGUUUGAAUUUCCGGACGUUUCUGGUGACGAAUGAACCAGCAUUUUCGGAAAAUUCGAAAAAGAGGAAAACCUUGCAAGGUAUACCGAAAUUUACGGUAAUUUCUUACCGGAAAUGCCCUUUCCAUUUGACUUUCCUCCCGGAAAUUUUGGUUUAAUGUACCGCUUUUCGGAAAUUCAACAAUUUCCGCAUUUUCUGGAAACUUUCCCUGGAACUUGUGACACUUGUCCUGGAACUUUUCGUACCAUUUGUUCCCGUUACGAUAUUUUCGGAAGUUUCAAUUGAAUGGACAGCGCUCAAAGCAAAACGAACACAAACUGGGUAAGAGUUUUCAUUUUACCCUGAAAAGCACUGGGUGACCAAACGGUGAAAACCUUGCGUCGAUAUGAUCUCGACAAAAGAAAGCGCAAGUCAACGCAAGUGCACGCAAGGCCUGGCCAAACGGAGUCGCAAGUAGACCCAACUUUUUAACUUGCGUCUACUUGCGUCUACUUGCGAGUCCGUUUGGCCGGGGCUUUAAGAAGAACUUUGAUCUCGGGCAGGACGCUUGAAUCUGAUAAAUAAUGCACCUUAACCAAUACUGUCUUGAUAUGAACAGUUUUCAUUUAUUUACAACGCUUUACCAAGAAUCAUCGUGUGCCUUUUUACAAAAUAUGGUCACCUGCAUUAAAAACACGCUUAGCCUUUCCUGACGACGUACAUGAAUUUCAUCUUCUGGAGUCUCACUUCGUUUAAUACGGAAUAUAAAAUUCACCGUUUCUUUGUUGACUUGAAAUAGAAAGAUCUCAGUAGAGAAAAAUUUAUUUCUCUUAAAAUCAAACCUUGGAGCUCAAGACCGUACAUAAUUUUUCCACAAUGAAGAUGGAGUGCAAAGUCAAUAUUUGUAUCACCCUUUUACGAUUCACUGUUUAAUUAAAAACGGUCUUACUUCAUUUGAUAAACUUGGAAAACAAUCUCUACUCGAAAUUCGAGGUGCCUGACUAACUGCAAAUUCUCUUGCUUCGUCCUUUAAAAAAAGCCAUCGUUCUCAGGGUCUGUCGACGCGUUGACAUGAUUCACUAGAGAGAUCUGGGGCCCGUUUCUCAAAAGCCCCGGCAACUUUUCGGGCCCGUAAAGCCAUUUUUAGUUCAUCUGUUGCUGAAAACAGAGAAGUGUAUAGGGCUGAAACUUCUUGUAUGAAGGGAACCUCUGUUUAUAUUGAAAAUACGCGAAUAAAACAGCCCGGUAAUCAUAAGCUUCGAGAUUUUGCUAUGGCUUUCCGGGUGCGAAAACUUUUCGGGACCUUCGAAAAACGGGCCCCAGGGCUCAAGACAGUCCCUAAGGUGCAGGUUUUUGGAGAGCACAUACCAACUCGUGUCUGACCAGAAACACUAAAUACUUGUAUACAUGGCGAAUAAAUAUUGUGCGAAAUAUAUAAUAUUUUCUUAUAAACUUCUGUUGAUGUCAAUGUCAUCUUUGGUCUGAAAACAUUUUCUGUAAGGUGUUGAUACUCUCUCGGCACAUUUUGCUGUAUUUAUCCAGCGCGUCGGGUUGUUCAC